GCGCACGCAAUAUCAUUUGGAGAUCUCUCUCUAAUCUGUGCCAAUUCUAGUCGCACCCCAGCAACCGCUUCAACGGAGACGUUUUUCUGCAAAGUCAGCAAGUUGUCAUUAUCCAGUCAAUGAGAUCCAUGAGCUUUCAGAAGAAGACGGCUAUUACAACAGUAAUAAUCAUAGACGUUUUGGAUUACUAUGCAAAAUUAACAUUGUAUAAGGCACCAAUGGACUGUCAUAGGAAUCCAACUCUCUUGUAACCUCUUGAGACCUGACAUAAAAAUAUUCAACAAAUAUUUUUUUAAAGGCUGAAAUAGGACAAUUGUAUCCUAAUUAGAAGUGAUUCACAGUUUAUGAGAAGCAAUAAUGAAGUUUUCUGUGGUACCUCUAAUCCUCUUUUGUUUUGCUUCUGCAAAGGGUCUGAAAUGCUACAAAUGCAGCAGCGAUUCAUGUCCCACAUGCAGUAGCAGCUGUGGGAUUUCAGAAUUUGACCGUUCGAAAUCUAUACAGACGACAUGUGCCGAAAAUGAAGUGUGUUGGAAAUAUGUUACUACUUCGCCUGAGGACGUGUCUCGUGGCUGUUAUACUAAACCUGAGGAUAGUAAUUAUAAUAAGUGCUUUAAUUUUGAUAAGUCAUAUUCGUGCUUUUGCUCAACAGAUUUAUGCAAUAGUGCAGUGAGCAAAAAUCUGGGAUUUUCUUUAACCUUCAUUUCCUUACUGGCCGCCAAGUAUCUGUAGAGCUGGUAACAUGUCACAUAUCAGUACCUUAUGAGAUCUAUGUGUUCUACAUAUAUUUUAUAUAAGAAGAAGAUAGUAACUAAAAAUUAGCAAAUUAUAUUUAUAUUUAGUAAACUUAAUGGCUUAAUGUAUGUAAUUCAUAUUGUC
rnacentral:misc_RNA from 1 species